rnacentral:lncRNA from 1 species
CUUUUCUGGUAGAAUGCCUGGUAAUCCGUAAGCCAUUCCACUGUGUUCAUCAGCCCACUCAACAGGGGUAUGUCUGCAUCGCCCUCAGGCACAGGUGGCGUGGCAGAGAGCCCACUUGAUGCAGCUUGGCACACGGCUGGCCUGUCACAGCAACAAACAUACGAAUGCUUGGUGACGAGCCUACGAAGAUGAGCUUUUUCAUUCGAAACUUUCGAAACCGAGCAAUCAAGCCACUAGAUACACUCCAGAGGCCCACUUACCUGGUGCGUCUAGGCUUGUUGGACCCGUGGACAGGUCUUGAAGAAGAUCUCAAAGUGCAAUCUUGGCUGCGUUGGUGCAGCUUGUGCAGGGAUAUAAGCUGAUUACUGGCCAGUGCUUGAAGUAAGCUAGCCAUCUGGAAGGACCUGCGAAGACCAAGAAGAGGAUCCGUCACGCAUCGUCCAGGAGAAUUGAACUUCGCAUCCAAAAACUCGCAUGUAUGCUCUAUGUAGCUCAGUGGUCCUCGAUUUAAUCGGCAAGGAAGAGCAGAUCAGUACAAAGGUGCUGAUGUAGAAGUCAAAGUUGUUUCGAUGUAGCCAUGUGCGCUGACCGAGUAACGGAUACAGCAUGAUACCGCAGACUUCAAAUAAACCACAAUUUGCAUAAUACAUUAACAAGGCAACGGACACCCAGCGUGCGUACCGAUGUGCCUGGACUGGAGCGUACUUCGUCCUGUUCUGGCGACGCCUCUAUGGCAAGGUUGACAGUGCGAAUGCUGGUCUACUAAACAGAGUUCUGAAGUCUGUCCCUUUUCCUACGUGAGAUCGACGUGUGGAAGCGUCGAGAGCGUCGAGAGUCUCUCCUUGCGGUUAUGCGAGGUUAACGCGACGUUUGAGCC